AAAUAAGGAGAAAUCGAGGAGUUCUCUUCCUCCACCCUUUCCCCUCCCCUCCUCUGAGUAGUCUUAUUUUUGGAGGCUGCGCAGGAAGCUUUUCAGCCCAGGAAAGAUCAUCUCACAGUAAGAGGGGGGAAAGAAAUAUCGGGUGCAAAAAAACAGUAGCUGUCAUCCAGGAUGGAAGUGGGGUGAUGCUUCAGGUUCUCCCUGAAAUGUCGGCAAGCGAACUCGAAGGAUCCCCGAUGUCUCUCCUGCUUUCCUUUCCUUCCUGUUUUUUGACUCCCCCCCCUCCCCAGCCAUGCCUCACUGUAUGUCUCCCGAAUGACAGACUCUAGUUAAUUUGGCCUUGGCUUUCACCGAGCAGCUGAUGCAGAGGAGGCCGCAGUUUGCUGGACUCGCAAAGUGGACACUAGAGAAAGAAGGAAGGGGGAAAAGCAGCUGUUGAGAGUGUUAACCUUUUUUUCCUCCUCUCCCCUUUGGCGAUUUUGGCUGAACAUUUUUUUUUUUUUUAAACAAUUGGCUGUUUUAUGCCCCUUGUCUCCCUUUGCUUUUUUUCCUCUUCUGUCAAACUGCAAACUGCAGGAUGAUAGACCCAAUGUACUAUUCCCCUCGCCAGUCUCAGCCCCGUCCCCUGUCUUCUCCCUGAAAUACCUCACCCAGGCUACCUCUGGUUCCCUCUCCAUCUCAUUUGGCUGCUGUUCCCGAAGGCUGAAGCCCCUCGAUACUCCAAAUGGAUGACCAGCCAUUCAGAGAAACAAAUGUACCUGAGACACCUUUAAGAAAAGAACAUGUAUCUCCUUUUCCUACAAUAAAAAUAUGUGUACCAAC